GUCUGAGGUUGUGAAGUAUGUUGUACUGGACCUCUCCCACAAAGCCACAUCCUUCACCUUGUUCUCAGCUUUCUCAUCUGGCUACACAAUGCUCUAGUACCUUAACAAGAUUCAGCUGAAAAGAGACUGCCUUCAUCCACAAAUUGAAAGAGAAAAGCUGUUUGGUAUUUCCAAGGGAGAGGGGGCAAACUUCUGAGUUUUCCCACAUUUUUCUCCAAUAAAGUUGUUUCUCUCUCUUA